UGGGUGUGGUGAUGGUGGAGGAUGGGAGAAAAGGGGAUGGGCAGGGGAAGUUGGGUCAACUUUUUUUUUUUUGCAGAUUACUAUUGUGGAUUUUAGCCAUUUUGUGGAUACAUCAACCAACAAGAAAGAGUUAGGAGACUGGUGUAGCAUUGUGCAUAUGCUGAGUUGGGAAAAACAUGGAAUGGAAAAUGUAUAUUGGCUGAGAGUCCUA
rnacentral:misc_RNA from 1 species